UGCGCAGGCGGCCGUGUGUGUGAGGCGUGAAAGCCCGGAGCUCAACUCCGGAAUGGCACCUCAAACUACACGGCUAGAGCAUUGGAGAGGGUAGCAGAAUUCACGGUGUAGCAGUGAAAUGCGUAGAUAUCGUGAGGAAUACCAGAGGCGAAGGCGGCUACCUGGACAAUUGCUGACGCUCAGGCACGAAAGCGUGGGGAGCAAAAGGGAUUAGAUACCCCUGUAGUCCACGCCCUAAACGGUGCGCACUAGGUCUUGGAGGAUUCGACCCCUUCAGGGCCCAAGCUAACGCGUUAAGUGCGCCGCCUGAGGACUACGGCCGCAAGGCUAAA
rnacentral:rRNA from 1 species